rnacentral:rRNA from 1 species
UGGGGGAGUAUUGCACAAAUGGGGGGAAACCCGUGAUGCAGCAACGCCGCGUGAGGGAAGAAGGUUUUCGGAUUGUAAACCUCUGUUCUUAGUGACGAUAAUGACGGUAGCUAAGGAGGAAGCUCCGGCUAACUACGUGCCAGCAGCCGCGGUAAUACGUAGGGAGCGAGCGUUGUCCGGAUUUACUGGGUGUAAAGGGUGCGUAGGCGGCGAGGCAAGUCAGGCGUGAAAUCUAUGGGCUUAACCCAUAAACUGCGCUUGAAACUGUCUUGCUUGAGUGAAGUAGAGGUAGGCGGAAUUCCCGGUGUAGCGGUGAAAUGCGUAGAGAUCGGGAGGAACACCAGUGGCGAAGGCGGCCUACUGGGCUUUAACUGACGCUGAAGCACGAAAGCAUGGGUAGCAAACAGGAUUAGAUACCCUGGUAGU